UCAAAAAGCACAAAAAAAAAAAAAGAAAGUUAAAAGAGCAGUGCAAAUUAUUUUAAGGAGACAACUGGAAAUGGCAAGCAAGGUAGCUGCAGUGCUAGUCAUGUGCCUUGUUGUAAUUGCCGCUGUCCAGCUUCCUCAGGCUGCGGCUGACAAAUUUGGCUCAUGCUUCAACACUUGCGAAGAAGAGUGCAAAGCUGGAGGACAAGGUCAGACUUUCUGUGAAAUGAAGUGCGACACUGACUGCUUCGAUAAAGAAAUUGCCGCAAAGUUAAGUGCGAAGACUCCCUGAGCGAUCAAGGCGCACUUGGUGGAUUACAACUCCCUAGCUAUAGCCCCCAAUAAAAUGAGAUAAUUUCAUUAACUAUAUUUGUAUUCUUUAUCAUCUCCAAUAAAACUAUAUAAUCUACCAAGUUUUCUCUUCCCCA